GCGCUCGUAGCUCAGCUGGAUAGAGCAGCGGACUUCUAAUCCGCCGGUCGCAGGUUCGAAUCCUGCCGGGCGCA
rnacentral:tRNA from 3 species